rnacentral:rRNA from 1 species
AUUGAACGCUGGCGGCAGGCCUAACACAUGCAAGUCGAGCGAGCGGCGGACGGGUGAGUAAUGUCUGGGAAACUGCCUGAUGGAGGGGGAUAACUACUGGAAACGGUAGCUAAUAUCGCAUACCAUCAGAUGUGCCCAGAUGGGAUUAGCUAGUUGGAGGGGUAACGGCCCACCAAGGCGAUGAUCAGUAGCCGGUCUGAGAGGAUGAACGGCCACAUUGGGACUGGGACACGACCCAGACUCCUACGGGAGGCAGCAGUGGGGAAUAUUGCACAAUGGGCGAAAGCCUGAUGCAGCGACGCCGCGUGUGUGAAGAAGGCCUUCGGGUUGUAAAGCACUUUCAGCGGGGAGGCGUUACCCGCAGAAGAAGCACCGGCUAACUCCGUGCCAGCAGCCGCGGUAAUAC